rnacentral:rRNA from 1 species
GACGAACGCUGGCGGCGUGCUUAACACAUGCAAGUCGAACGGAAAGGCCCUGCUUUUGUGGGGUGCUCGAGUGGCGAACGGGUGAGUAACACGUGAGUAACCUGCCCUUGACUUUGGGAUAACUUCAGGAAACUGGGGCUAAUACCGGAUAGGAGCUCCUGCUGCAUGGUGGGGGUUGGAAAGUUUCGGCGGUUGGGGAUGGACUCGCGGCUUAUCAGCUUGUUGGUGGGGUAGUGGCUUACCAAGGCUUUGACGGGUAGCCGGCCUGAGAGGGUGACCGGCCACAUUGGGGCUGAGAUACGGCCCAGACUCCUACGGGAGGCAGCAGUGGGGAAUAUUGCACAAUGGGCGGAAGCCUGAUGCAGCAACGCCGCGUGCGGGAUGACGGCCUUCGGGUUGUAAACCGCUUUCGCCUGUGACGAAGCGUGAGUGACGGUAAUGGGUAAAGAAGCGCCGGCUAACUACGUG